rnacentral:rRNA from 1 species
UACGUAGGGUCCGAGCGUUGUCCGGAGUACUGGGCGUAAAGCGCGCGCAGGCGGCUGAUCAGCCUGACGUGAAAGUCCUCGGCUUAACCGGGGAGAGUCGUCGGGGACCGGUCAGCUUGAGGGCGGCAGGGGCUGGUGGAAUUCCCGGUGUAGUGGUGAAAUGCGCAGAUAUCGGGAGGAACACCAAUGGCGAAGGCAGCUCGCUGGGACGUGACUGACGCUGAGACGCGAAAGCGUGGGGAGCAAACAGG